UUAUAUGCUUGUCUCAAAGANUAAGCCAUGCAUGUCUAAGUACUUGCCGUAUUAAGGCGAAACCGCGAAUGGCUCAUUAAAUCAGUUAUGGUUCCUUGGAUCGUACUUUACUACUUGGAUAACUGUGGCAAUUCUAGAGCUAAUACAUGCAGCAGAGCUCCGACCUUCGGGGACGAGCGCUUUUAUUAGACCAAAACCGACCGGGCCUCGUGUCCGUGAAACGUGGUGACUCUGUAUAACUUUGGGCUGAUCGCACGGGCUCGUCCCGGCGACGUAUCUUUCAAGUAUCUGCCUUAUCAACUGUCGAUGGUAGGUUACGCGCCUACCAUGGUCGUAACGGGUAACGGGGGAUCAGGGUUCGAUUCCGGAGAGGGAGCCUGAGAAACGGCUACCACAUCCAAGGAAGGCAGCAGGCGCGCAAAUUACCCACUCCCGGCACGGGGAGGUAGUGACGAAAAAUAACAAUACGGGACUCUUUUGAGACCCCGUAAUUGGAAUGAGUACACUCUAAAUCCUUUAACGAGGAUCCAUUGGAGGGAAAGUCUGGUGCCAGCAUCUGCGGUAACUCCAGCUCCAAUAGCGUAUAUUAAAGUUGUUGCGGUUAAAAAGCUCGUAGUUGGAUCUCAGUUCGAGACGGGUGGUCCGCCUACCGGUGGUCACUGCCCGGUCUCAACACCAGCCGGUUUCCCUGGAUGAUCUUCACCGGUUGUCUUGGGUGACCGGCAAGUUUACUUUGAAAAAAUUAGAGUGCUCAAAGCAGGCGCGACGCCUGAAUAAUGGUGCAUGGAAUAAUGGAAUAGGACCUCGGUUCUAUUUUGUUGGUUUUCGGAACCCGAGGUAAUGAUUAAGAGGGACAGACGGGGGCAUUCGUAUUGCGACGCUAGAGGUGAAAUUCUUGGACCGCCGCACGACGAACUACUGCGAAAGCAUUUGCCAAGAAUGUUUCCAUUAAUCAAGAACGAAAGUUAGAGGAUCGAAGGCGAUCAGAUACCGCCCUAGUUCUAACCAUAAACGAUGCCAGCCAGCGAUCCGGCUGUGUUCCUCAAAUGACACGCCGGGCAGCUUCCGGGAAACCAAAGCUUUUGGGUUCCGGGGGGAGUAUGGUUGCAAAGGUUAAACUUAAAGGAAUUGACGGAAGCGCAAACAAGGAGUGGGGCCUGCGGCUUAAUUUGACUCAACACGGCGAAACUUAUCCGGUCCGGACACAGGAAGGAUUGACAGAUUGAGAGCUCUUUCUGAUUCUGUGACAGGUGGUGC
rnacentral:rRNA from 1 species